GACGAACGCUGGCGGCGUGCCUAAUACAUGCAAGUUGAGCGCUGAAGGUUGGUACUUGUACCAACUGGAUGAGCAGCGAACGGGUGAGUAACGCGUGGGGAAUCUGCCUUUGAGCGGGGGACAACAUUUGGAAACGAAUGCUAAUACCGCAUAAAAACUUUAAACACAAGUUUUAAGUUUGAAAGAUGCAAUUGCAUCACUCAAAGAUGAUCCCGCGUUGUAUUAGCUAGUUGGUGAGGUAAAGGCUCACCAAGGCGAUGAUACAUAGCCGACCUGAGAGGGUGAUCGGCCACAUUGGGACUGAGACACGGCCCAAACUCCUACGGGAAGCAGCAGUAGGGAAUCUUCGGCAAUGGGUGGAAGUCUGACCGAGCAACGCCGCGGGAGUGAAGAAGGUUUUCGGAUCGUAAAAAUCUGUUGGUAGAGAAGAACGUUGGUGAGAGUGGAAAGCUCAUCAAGUGACGGUAACUACUCAGAAAGGGACGGCUAACUACGUG
rnacentral:rRNA from 1 species